AUUGAACGCUGGCGGCAGGCCUAACACAUGCAAGUCGAGCGAGAGGCGGACGGGUGAGUAAUGUAUGGGGACUGCCCGAUAGAGGGGGAUAACCACUGGAAAAGGUAGCUAAUACCGCAUACUAUCGGAUAACCCAUAUGGGAUUAGCUAGUAGGUGAGGUAAUGGCCCACCUAGGCGACGAUCCCUAGCUGGUCAGAGAGGAUGAUCAGCCACACUGGGACUGAGACACGGCCCAGACUCCUACGGAGGCAGCAGUGGGGAAUAUUGCACAAUGGGCGCAAGCCUGAUGCAGCCAUGCCGCGUGUAUGAAGAAGGCCCUAGGGUUGUAAAGUACUUUCAGUCGGGAGGCGUUACCGACAGAAGAAGCACCGGCUAACUCCGUGCCAGCAGCCGCGGUAAUAC
rnacentral:rRNA from 1 species